AACAUUAUAAGUUAAAAAAACUAUUGGUUUGAUACACCAAAAAUAGGAGCCCUUAAUGUUA
rnacentral:tRNA from 1 species